AAAACGACUCUCGGCAACGGAUAUCUAGGCUCUCGCAUCGAUGAAGAACGUAGCAAAAUGCGAUACUUGGUGUGAAUUGCCGAAUCCCGUGAACCAUCGAGUUUUUGAACGCAAGUUGCGCCCGAAGCCAUUAGGCUGAGGGCACGUCUGCCUGGGCGUCUC
rnacentral:rRNA from 1 species